UACGUAGGUGACCAGCGUUGUCCGGAUUUACUGGGCGUAAAGAGUGUGUAGGCGGUGCUCUAAGUUUGUCGUGAAAUCUCCCGGCUUAACUGGGAGGGUGCGGCGAAAACUGGAAUGCUAGAGGAUGGGAGAGGUAAGCGGAAUUCCUGGUGUAGCGGUGAAAUGCGUAGAUAUCAGGAGGAACACCUGUGGUGUAGACAGCUUACUGGACCAUUUCUGACGCUGAGACACGAAAGCGUGGGUAGCAAACAGG
rnacentral:rRNA from 1 species